rnacentral:rRNA from 1 species
AUCAGCCUUUUGGGCAUGAUUCUGUGGAGCGUGAGGAGUUAAACGCCUUCAUGCCUGCAUAUUCGUGUACUUUGGGUGUACUUGCCUGUGUGGUUAGUUAACAUCAAUUUUGGUUAUCAUAAAAUGGCUGGAGGAAUGUAGCUUCGAUCUCGUAUUGAAGUGUUAUAGCCUUCGGCAGAUGUGAUGAUCGGGAUUGAGGAUUGCAGCGGAUACCCUUCGGGGCUACCUGUCUGGUCUCUGAUCGUUGCUCUGGUGCCGAAAGCGUGCUUACGGUUAUCAAAGUCGAUGGUCAACAGGUUAGAACGGGUUAAAUUCGUUAAGGAUGUUGACGUAAUGGCUUU